rnacentral:tRNA from 2 species
GGCCGCUUGGUCUAGGGGUAUGAUUGCCGCUUUGGGUGCGGCAGGUCCCGGGUUCGAUCCCCGGAGCGGCCC